ACCCAAACCAUUCCACGGUUCUACCAUUCCAUGACAUGUAUUUUUAGGCCAAUAUUUAUGGUUUGUCCCUUUGCAGUUCCACCAGAUUUCAGGGGAGUUCAAAGGUGUUUUCCUGCCUCCUCCGAGCCCUGGGCUAUUUAUAGCAGUCAGAUGUUGGCAGCCCAGCUCUCACAGACAACUGUAGGGUGACAGUGUGCACAUGGAAAUGGCUCAUUCCUGGUGCUCAGGAGAGGACGAAUCUCACCGUGGCACAGCACUGACCCAGAUGCCUCCACAAGGUGCGGUGCCAAAGCCCCUCAGGUGCCCAUAUCCACCCUCCAAGCUCCUAAAAGGCUUCCUCUGGCUGGGACUUGGGAAAAAGUGACCCAAAAAGUCACUUCUGCCAUACUCCCGGUGUGAAGGAGGCACACCAGGGCAGGGGUGGAGGCCCCAUCUCUGCAGGGAUUUAGAACUGCAUGGAUGUGGCUCUUGGGGAUGAGGUUUGGUGUGGCCUUGGCAAUGCUGAGUCCGACCCUAUGACCUGAGAGGGCUUUUCCAACCUCACCAGCUCCAUGUUUCUAUGGAAAAGAACCUCCUGCAGAAAGCAGGACCCUUUUCUCAGGUGCCUUUCUCUGAAUAUCCCACGUCAUGGGGGUGUGGAGAAGGGGGAGGCAGGAAUUCCAAAGUUCCAGUGGGCAGCGUCUCACACCCCAGUAAAUCCCAGUAUUUACAGAGCUGCAGGAGUGGCCAGGCACCAGGAUUCUCCAGAUCUGCACCAGCAUGGGCUGUGUGGGGCAGCCAGACACACGGACAGGCUCUGGCCCAUCCCAGACCUGACUGGAGCCCCGGGAGUUCCCCACUCCUGCUGGAAGCUCCUGCCCACAUCCCUAUAGCGACAGUGAGGCACCACUAUCUCCUGCAUCUCCCCAGGCACCUCCCUGCCCCAGCCGAGGCCAGGGAGAGGAGAAGGACACCAUGAGCACACAGAACUCAGAGGGAGCUGGAAAAGAGCUCUUGGGGCUGGCCAGGCUCCAGGGCAGAGGGACACAGCCCCUGCUCGGGAGCAGAGCCGUGGAGACCUUCCCCGUUUCACAUCCCACUGGAGCAGAACCACUUCACCUUCCCGGUUUUUGGCACCCACCCUCCUCUCCCUUCAGCAUCAGCUGCCGGCAGAUGGGAGUGUGGUGGAUUAUUUAGGGAAAACGCCCAAUAACAUCACAAUUACUUACCAUAAAAGCCUGGUGUUUCCAAUAAUAACCUAAUGUUCCAGGCACCUGUCCAACAGAGCUCUGCUACCUGCCCACUGCAGGAUCCGUAUCCAUCACGCUCCCCUGCGUGUCUCGGGGUGCCACUGCCGCUCUGCCAGGCUCAGGGAGCCCUGGGGACUGGGGCCACACCUGUGUGGGACAGGGACAGGGGCUGCAGGACCUGUCACCCCCACAGUGUCACCCCUCGGGGUCCGUGCAGGGCUGCAAGAGACGGUGGGGAAGAGACAGUGCCAAAGCAGGAAUUCACCAGGAAUCAACACUGGCAGUGUCCGAGGCCAGGCUUGGAGCACCCUGGGAUAGUGGAAGGUGUCCCUGGCCAUGGGAGUAGAACCAGGUGGGUUUUAAGGUUCCUCCAGCCCAAACCACCCUGGGCUUCCAGGACCUGCCAGGCUUUGGCAGCUCCAGGCUGGCCCCACCUCUCCUGUUGGCAGCAGGUGAGAGCAGAGGGGCCCAGUGAUCCCAGAUGCCACUCUCACCUCCUGACACCGUCACCCUGAUGCUGGAAUGAGGUGGAAAGGGACAAAUGGCGCAGGAACAAAAGGGCUCAGAACUGUUUUUCUUGGUCAGAUCCCACGAGCCCCAUCAGCGACAUCCGCGAUGGCUUUUCCAGACCAGGCUGGGCAGCCAGAUUUUGCUCAAGUGUUCCCAGGGAACAACAACAACAACAAAAAAAACCCAACCAUCAUGAACAUGUGUCUGGCUGAUAGGAACCCAGGAUUGUCCAGCAGCAAAGUUCCCUGUGGGCUUGGGAAAGAGCGGAGGAGCAGCGGAGAUGGUGUAACAGGAUGUGGGCAUCUCAUCUCCCCGGAGCAGGAGGCAGCCAGAAGCACUGGCACUCACCCAGCACUCAGCUCCAAUUUGUUUGCACACAGGCUUUGCUGGAAAAUUGCAUCCAGCCGGCCAGUUAAUAAAAAUCAUCCUCACAGAGCUCACCGGCAGCAUUUGCUGAAUGAGAGAUGGAUGCUAAAUUAUUCACUCUGCGCCAUCGGAGCCGCGGCGCUGGGAGAGGGAGGAAGAUUUCGUGUUGUGCUGUCAAUUCUGGAGCACUUCAUUCUCAGGGCUCUGAGGCUGCCAUCUGCUACUAAAUUCACCACGAGGAACGGGGGGGGAAGGAGGCAGCGUUUGCAGGCACUGACUGCUCAUCGUACAGCAGCUCUAGAACACAUUUUGGAGCAGUCAUGAGAAGGAGAAAUCCAGGGGGAAGUGCGGAGUGGAAGGGAUAAUGUGUCACUCAGAGGAUUCCACCUACGCAGAGGGAGGAGAAACAUCUGAGGGCACAAAAUGCCACCCUGCCUCUCCUGUCUGCCACACCUGAGCGGUCAAGGGAGAGGGCAGGCACAGCACAAUCUCCUGGAUGUGUAAUUUGCCUUCACAGCCGGAAAUUUUCCCGUUUCUCCAAGUAUCCAGCUGUUCUCUUUGGCUACUGAGCUACCCCUCAACCCCUCCCCAAGAUUUUCUUCAAAUAAUUUAAUUUUUUUUUAAUUAAAAUCUUGAUAAGGUGCUCA